CCUACGGGGGGCAGCAGUGGGGAAUAUUGCACAAUGGGGGGAACCCUGAUGCAGCGACGCCGCGUGGGUGAAGGAGUACUUCGGUACGUAAAGCCCUAUCAGCAGGAAAGAAAAUGACGGUACCUGACUAAGAAGCCCCGGCUAACUACGUGCCAGCAGCCGCGGUAAUACGUAGGGGGCAAGCGUUAUCCGGAUUUACUGGGUGUAAAGGGAGCGUAGACGGCAGUGCAAGUCCGGAGUGAAAGCCCGGGGCUCAACCCUGGGACUGCUCUGGAAACUGUAAAGCUGGAGUGCGGGAGGGGCAG
rnacentral:rRNA from 1 species